rnacentral:rRNA from 1 species
GUGAGGAAUUUUCCGCAAUGGGCGAAAGCCUGACGGAGCAAUGCCGCGUGAAGGAUGAAGGCCUAUGGGUUGUAAACUUCUUUUCUCAGAAAAGAAUUAUGACGGUAUCUGAGGAAUAAGCAUCGGCUAACUAUGUGCCAGCAGCCGCGGUACGACAGAGGAUGCAAGCGUUAUCCGGAAUGGUUGGGCGUAAAGAGUCUGUAGGUUGUUUAAAAGUUAUUCUGUCAAAGAUUAGGGCUUAACCCUAGAUAGGCAGAAUAAACGUAUGAGCUAGAGUGUAGUAGAGGCAGAGGGAAUUCCCGGUUGGGCGGUGAGAUGCGUAGAUAGCGGGAGGAACACCAAAGGAGAAGGCAGUCUGCUGGGCCAAUACUAACACUGAGAGACGAAAGCGAGGGGAGCAAAUGGGAUUAGAAACCCGGGUAGUCC